CAGUCGCCACGGUAAUACGUAGGGUGCAAGCGUUGUCCGGAAUUAUUGGGCGUAAAGAGCUCGUAGGCGGUUUGUCGCGUCUGCUGUGAAAUCUGGGGGCUCAACCCCCAGCCUGCAGUGGGUACGGGCAGACUAGAGUGCGGUAGGGGAGAUUGGAAUUCCUGGUGUAGCGGUGGAAUGCGCAGAUAUCAGGAGGAACACCGAUGGCGAAGGCAGAUCUCUGGGCCGUAACUGACGCUGAGGAGCGAAAGCAUGGGGAGCGAACAGGAUUAGAUACCCCCGUAGUCCCUGUCUCUUAUAC
rnacentral:rRNA from 1 species